rnacentral:rRNA from 1 species
AGUGAACGCUGGCGGUAGGCCUAACACAUGCAAGUCGAACGGCAGCACAGUAAGAGCUUGCUCUUACGGGUGGCGAGUGGCGGACGGGUGAGGAAUACAUCGGAAUCUACUUUUUCGUGGGGGAUAACGUAGGGAAACUUACGCUAAUACCGCAUACGACCUACGGGUGAAAGCAGGGGAUCUUCGGACCUUGCGCGAUUGAAUGAGCCGAUGUCGGAUUAGCUAGUUGGCGGGGUAAAGGCCCACCAAGGCGACGGUCCGUAGCUGGUCUGAGAGGAUGAUCAGCCACACUGGAACUGAGACACGGUCCAGACUCCUACGGGAGGCAGCAGUGGGGAAUAUUGGACAAUGGGCGCAAGCCUGAUCCAGCCACACCGCGUGGGUGAAGAAGGCCUUCGGGUUGUAAAGCCCUUUUGUUGGGAAAGAAAAGCAGCAGGUUAAUACCCCGCUGUUCUGACGGUACCCAAAGAAUAAGCACCGGCUAACUUCGUG